CGCACCUUGCGCUCCUUGGUAUUCCUCGGAGCACGCCUGUUUGAGUAUCAUGAAAUUCUCAAAACAAGUCUUUUGUUAAUUCAAUAGGCCUUUGUUUUGGACUUGGAGGUCUGCAGAUUCACAUCUGCUCCUCUUAAAUAAAUUAGCUGGAUCUCCAUGAACUUGGUUCCACUCGGCGUGAUAAGUAUCACUCGCUGAGGACACCCGUAAAAAGGUGGCCAGGCUUGAGGAUGAGCCGCUUCUAACAGUCCAUUUAAUUGGACAAAUUAAUUUAUGAUCUGAUCUCAAAUCAGGUGGGACUACCCGCUGAACUUAA
rnacentral:misc_RNA from 1 species